rnacentral:rRNA from 1 species
GGGCUCUACGAAACCCAGCGGCACAAUGAAAGUGAAGGUCCCUCUCUGACGGGGGGCUUAGGUGGGAUCCCCGGCCCCGCCGAGGCGCACCACCGGCCCGUCUGGACACCUUGCCACCCUGGCUGCGGCCGGGGAGAGCUGGAGAGGUCAGGCGGAGCUAGAGCGCACACGUUGGGACCCGAAAGAUGGUGAACUAUGCCUGAGCAGGUUGAAGCCAGGGGAAACCCUGGUGGAGGACCGUAGCGAUUCUGACGUGCAAAUCGAUCGUCCGACUUGGGUAUAGGGGCGAAAGACUAAUCGAACCAUCUAGUAGCUGGUUCCCUCCGAAGUUUCCCUCAGGAUAGCAGGCGCUCGCUUGGUUCAGUUUUAUCCGGUAAAGCGAAUGAUUAGAGGCAUUGGGGUCGAAACGUCCUCAACCUAUU